GAGCCCUCGAUUCCCAUCAUCUCUCCCAAACCGCCGCCACCCAUUGCCUCAUCUCCCUCCUCCGACCCACCUCGCCGCUGGCCCUCCCCUCGCCUCCUCCCACCUCGCGGCUCCGGAGGCUGCCGGAUCCACCGCAUCCCCCAUGCGUCCAUCCCUCUCGCGUCCCAUCUCUCACUCUUCACGCAGCUCCUCGCUGCGCCACCUGCAGCGGCUGAUUUAGGUGACGUCCGCCGAAUCCCAUGACCAUGAAGCACAGCCCGAGGUCCCCUGGCACCGCGGAGCUUUCCCAUCCGGCUAGAUCCGGCGCUCGCAGCCACCAGAGCCCACCCGCGACCCUUCCCCCACGGCUAGGGUUUCAGGCGUCGGCUCCGGCGCGGUGGCCAUGUCGUCCUCCUCUUGUCCGGCGAGUGCAUCCCCUCCCUUGCUUCGUCCUCUCUCUCUCUCUCCCACUUUCUGUGAUCUCUGGUCUUCUCUUCUCCUGUAGACGUGCAGGGAGGAAUCGCUAGUGGACAGCCUUGCUGCUGCUCGGGACAAAGCAGCCGUGGAUCUUCCUCCUCGUCCUGCUAUGGCUUCAGUGAAAUAGGAAGUCCAACGACGACAGUUUAAAGCACAUGGGGAGCAACGAGGCUACCACGCAGCUGUACGGCGGCCUGAUAGGGAGUCAGACUACAAUCCUACUGGCGAUGCGCAAGUUAUGCUAAUGGCAACGAGUACUUGAUAUGUACAGUUUCAUGUUUACAUCAGACUGAUUGAUGAGUUUCAUUAUUUGGAUUUCAGAGCAGCCACUUACUGAAAGCAUAAUAAGGAUCUCACAAGGAGGUGGGAGAAGGGACGCCAACAAUUGGUGCAGAUUCAGAAGAUAUAUGGAUGAUUAUAUGAGUGCGUGGCAAGUAUAAUGCAAUGAUGAUGAUGCUGCGGUUCAUGAUGAUGAUGAUGAUGAUGAUGAUGGAUGCCUUUAGUUUUGGUUAAGUUGUAGGGAAGGGAUGUUGUUCCUGUUGGAUGAUGUUCCUCGGUUAAGUUUUAGUUAAGUUGUAGGGAUAUCAACAAAAUAUUUAGAUUAUGGAUCACAUUGGGAUGAUGUUCCUCAUGUAAUAUCCACUAUUGUAAACCAACAUUUUAAUCCAAUAUAUGAUUUCCUCUCUUGGGUA